UACGUAGGGGGGCAAGCGUUUGUCCGGAGUUACUGGGCGUAAAGCGUGCGCAGGCGGUUCGUUAAGUCAGAUGUGAAAGCCCCGGGCUCAACCUGGGAACUGCAUUUGAAACUGGCGGGCUUGAGUGUGGCAGAGGGGGGUGGAAUUCCGCGUGUAGCAGUGAAAUGCGUAGAGAUCCGGAGGAACACCGACGGCGUAGGCAGCGCCCUGGACGACACCUGACGCUGAGGCACGAAAGCGUGGGUAGCAAACAG
rnacentral:rRNA from 1 species